GUCAGGUGGUCUGGUAUUCCCAUCUCUUUCAGAAUCUUCCACAUUUAUUGUGAUCCACACAGUCAAAGGCUUUGGCAUAGUCAAUAAAGCAGAAAUAGAUGUUUUUCUGGAACUCUCUUGCUUUUUCCAUGAUGCAGCGGAUGUUGGCAAUUUGAUCUCUGGUUCCUCUGCCUUUUCUAAAACCAGCUUGAACAUCAGGAAGUUCACGGUUCAUGUAUUGCUGAAGCCUGGCUUGGAGAAUUUUGAGCAUUACUUUACUAGCAUGUGAGAUGAGUGCAAUUGUGCGGUAGUUUGAGCAUCUUUGGCAUUCUUUUCUAAUUAGAGUUUUCAUCUUUUCCAGAUGCAUGCCCAGAGGUGGGACUGCUGGAUCUUAUGGUAGCCCAAUCUUUAGCUUUUUAAAGAAACUUCAUGCUGUUUCACAUUGUGGUUGCACUAAUUUACAUAUCCACCAACCAUGUACAAGGGUUCUCUUUUCUCCACACCUUUGCCAGCAUUUAUUGCAAAUCUUAUCUUUUUAAUCUUCACAUUCCCCACACUCAAGCAGCUCAUGGAUCUAUUUCUCAAUAAUGUUCCAUGAGUUGAGUUGAAGGAGGCCCACGAGGAGAUGAAGAGUAGCUUAGAGGAGGGGUUGGUGGUGCUGGCAGUGGCUAUGGACAGACCCUCAGGAAGUGUCCAUGUGCCAUGGGACUCACACCAAAACAGGCUAAAAAAUCAUCUUUGCUUGUGAAAGCACAGCUUUCAGCCUCUCAGUAUGAGCAUUUCAACUUUCUAUUUCAUCUUCUCACUCCAGGAGGAAAAGGAGCCGUCUGUGUGGGUUUCCUGCUGGAUCUAUUUCAGGGCCACAUUCCUUUGGAAUUGCCUCACUUCUUGACAUACAGGGAAAUGGGAAACUCACCUAGUGAAGCAGAAACUCCCAUCUCCUGAACUUAUCAUGAAAGAGCCCUAAAUUCCCUUAGAAUUCACUUACAGAGCUUCCCAAAGUUGUGGCCCAGGGCAUUUUUGAAAAUGAAACCAGACACGGGAAGUUCACUGAAGCCCUUCAUUUUUCUAUUAGAUUUUGCAUUCCUUGGAGAUAGGAUCCAUGUUUCUGCCCAAGCUCACUAAGUCUGUGUGCUUAGUGAAUGCUUGAUCAUUCGGUUGAUGCUGUUAAGAUUUUCUGUUAUUGCCAAAUGUGCUCAGGUACUUAUUUAUGUGAUAUGACUUCAAAGACCACAGGGAAAAAAUAAAAUAAAAAGAUCAUUCAACAACUCUCA
ensembl:lncRNA